rnacentral:rRNA from 1 species
UACGGAGGGCGCAAGCGUUGUUCGGAAUCAUUGGGCGUAAAGCGCGUGUAGGCGGCCAGGUAAGUCGGGUGUGAAAUCCCGGGGCUCAACCCCGGAACUGCAUUCGAUACUGCCCGGCUAGAGUCCCGGAGAGGAAGGCGGAAUUCCCGGUGUAGAGGUGAAAUUCGUAGAUAUCGGGAGGAACACCAGUGGCGAAGGCGGCCUUCUGGACGGUGACUGACGCUGAGACGCGAAAGCGUGGGGAGCAAACAGG